AACAAACAUCAUCUAAAAUAUCUAAAGCCGAGUAAAUGGAGACGAUUAAAAUAGAUCAUCAUAAGAUGGUUCAUAACCUCAAAACACAUUUCAAAUCAUCUAAACCGGUUACAUUUCAUCCAAAAUAUACAACGAGGCUUAUGAAUCUCUUAAAAACUUGGCUCGUACCAAAACUCAUUCUCGGGGAUACCUUGAUUAGAGGCAUCCAAUCGAGACCGCCAAGGCUGUUUAAAAAGUCAUAUACGCACAAAACACAUUUUUA
rnacentral:lncRNA from 1 species